GAUGAACGCUGGCGGCGUGCCUAACACAUGCAAGUCGAGCGAAGCGCCUUACUUGAUUUCUUCGGGAUGAAAGUAUUGUGACUGAGCGGGCGUACGGGUCGAAGGUACGCGUAGGUAGUAACCUGCCUCAUACAGGGGGAUAACAGUUAGAAAUGACUGCUAAUACCGCAUAAGACCACAGCACCGCAUGGUGCAGGGGUAAAACUCCGGUGGUAUGAGAUGGAUCCGCGUCUGAUUAGCUAGUUGGUAAGGUAACGGCUUACCAAGGCAACGAUCAGUAGCCGACCUGAGAGGGUGACCGGCCACAUUGGGACUGAGGCACGGCCCAA
rnacentral:rRNA from 1 species